rnacentral:misc_RNA from 1 species
GAAAUGCGAUAAGUAAUGUGAAUUGCAGAAUUCAGUGAAUCAUCGAAUCUUUGAACGCACCUUGCGCUCCUUGGUAUUCCUUGGAGCAUGCCUGUUUGAGUAUCAUGAAAUCUUCAAAGUAAAUCUUUUGUUAACUCAAUUGGUUUCUACUUUGGUAUUGGAGGUCUUUGGCUUCACACCUGCUCCUCUUUGUUCAUUAGCUGGAUCUCAGUGUUAUGCUUGGUUCCACUCGGCGUGAUAAGUUAUCUAUCGCUGAGGACACUGUAAAAGGUGGCCAAGGUAAAUGCAGAUGAACCGCUUCUAAUAGUCCAUUGACUUGGACAAUACUUUUAUGAUCUGAUCUCAAAUCAGGUAGGACUACCCGCUGAACUUAAGC